UACGGAGGGGGCUAGCGUUGUUCGGAAUUACUGGGCGUAAAGCGCACGUAGGCGGCUUUGUAAGUUAGAGGUGAAAGCCCGGGGCUCAACUCCGGAAUUGCCUUUAAGACUGCAUCGCUAGAAUUGUGGAGAGGUAAGUGGAAUUCCGAGUGUAGAGGUGAAAUUCGUAGAUAUUCGGAAGAACACCAGUGGCGAAGGCGACUUACUGGCUCGUAACUGACGCUCAGGCGCGACAGCGUGGGGAUCAAACAGG
rnacentral:rRNA from 1 species